rnacentral:rRNA from 1 species
CCCUUAGAUGUUCUGGGCCGCACACGCGCUACACUGAAGGAGGCAGCGUGUACUCCGGGAUCGAAAGAUUUGGGUAACCCGCGAAUCUCCUUCGUGCUAGGGAUUGAGGUUUGCAAUUAUCCUUCAUGAACGAGGAAUUCCCAGUAUGUGCAAGUCAUAAGCUUGCGCUGACUACGUCCCCGCCCUUUGUACACACCGCCCGUCGCUACUACCGAUUGAAUGAUUUAGUGAGGACUUCGGACUGGGACCGAUGCGGCUUUCGGGCUGCGUCGGUAUUCUGGAAAGAUGUCCAAACUGUAUCAUUUAGAGGAAGUAAAAGUCGUAACA